CACAGAUUGCCAGGGAGCCUGCACUGCCUUGUCCACCCAUUAGGGUCUCUCGCACUCAGGUUGCAGUUUUUGGCUAUCUGGAUGACAAAGAUCAUUUGCAUAAGUUUUCUUAACGAAGGACAGAGCACUGUGCCUCAGCGUGGAUCAGCAAAGAAAGUCUGAUGAUUCAACAUGUAGUCGGUUGCUCUCACGUUCACACCAAAGGUACCGAACUUAUAUGGAAGACCCUAAGUGGUAAGACCCAUGCCUACUGGAAAUGGAAUCUUCUGCUUCUGGGAACUUCUCUGCUCCACAAACAGUCACGCCCUGGAUCUGCAGACUGCCAUCAACACCUGCUCUCCUGCAGUGCCUGGUGCUCCAGAAACCCCAGGCUGCCCGUUGUGAGGCCAGGGAUGCGCAGCUUUCCCAGAGCCAGGCAUUUUACAUUGUUUGUAGUCUGCAUUUUGGAGUCAUUACUCAGUGGUACAAGAGAUGCAAUUGUCACUGCGGUUGGAAGCCAAUCAACGCGUUGUGAGUGGGAGCCCGCUGGUACUUUCCAAUGGUCCUUGAUUAAAAAGGAAGCUCUUGGCUAUCUUCAAGCAGCAGGAGAGGAAACAGCACGGAGAAGAUACUCAGAUGCAGCGGAAUUCAAGCAUGAAACUAAACAGCUUCUCAGAUAUUAUCUAUUCAGCCAUCUGCUUGACAGACAAUGGAUAACCUUCCAGAUUCAUGGAGCUGCAUCUGCCUUUUAAUCCAGUGGUAGUCUCCAUGGAAAUAAACAGGAGGCAUUACUUUUGGAGCAACCCAUGUAUAUGUGGCCCAGAACCAUUCCUCUUCACUCAAUACAGCUCAGACAAGCCAAAAGGUUGGAUAGCCAUGCUCUAAGGCUUCUGCUCAUCCAGAAGAGACUGCAGGGACUUCAGGUGAUCUUCGCCUCCUGCUGAACCAGAUAGGUAAAAAGGGAAAAGGUUAUAUUCUGAUAUCAUCAGGAGCAAUAUUGGGCAACUUAGGACCUCCUAUAUUUGGCCUAUGACUUUUGCAGGAAGAUCUCCACCCUCCUCCAACAAGAAGUACACUGCCAUCCCUCCUAAAUCCAGGACUCGCAUCAAAAACAGACUGAUGGGAUGCUGUUGUGACAAGAGGAGAGGACAGGAUUGCCCACUGGAUGAGGAGUUGUGGAGCAGUACUCAAGGAAAUCCCAUCGAUCAGACCGAUUCAGCAGAGGUAUGAUUGGCAUCACAUUCAGAAUAAGGACACUGAUAUUUACAACCAUGUAUUCUCCUCCAACUAUUUUUAUCUGAGGUUGCCUACACCAGAAGUGCUUAAGCCAAGAAGGUGCAGGAAUUUUUGGGGUUCUCCCAAUAAAUUCCUGUUUUGUCUCUCUCCUUCAGUUUGAAAUGGUGCUUAUAGACAGAAGCACAUCCAAGUGAAGACUGCUUAACUUGAAGGAAGCAAAUGGCCCUGUGUCUAGAAUAUCCCCUUUAAUGGGUUAAAACCCUCUUUCUGGACUGACAUAGUUAUCCUCUAGGAUGGUUCCAACACUGCACCAUUCAUCCUACACCCCACCAUCACUGUAUACUUUCAGGCCAGGCACUCAAAUACCAGAGAAUCACCUGUUCUUACUUUUCUUCUACCCAGAGCUUUUUUCUUCAUCAAUGACACCAGAUUCUGUACAACUCUCCACUGUGACAGCUUUGUACAAAUGGGAAUCCAUAGCAAAUGUGAGCAUAACCUGCAACAGAGUGAAGCCCAAACCAAACAAGUAAACCAACCAACCAAACAAGAAACCCACAUAUUUUUCAGCAAUGGGAGAGAAGGCGAGAAAAUAUUUACCUUAUUCUCCCUCCAUGCUUGUUUCACUCACAUUAGAGUAGAUUUCCCCUUUCCGGAUUGUCUCGUGCAUAAAAUACACCCAAGUUUCAUGAGCUGUGUAUGUGCCUAUACAAGUGGAGUGCACAAGCUCUGCUGGCUGUGCUGGUGGGGAGUCCUGGCACUGAGUAGUGGCUCUGGGUCAAAACUGUGGAGAGGGCACCAGAAAUUAAUAUAGAUCAUCUUUUUCAUAAUGUUAGAGAGUGCCACCAGUGUUUGGUGGCUCAGUUUGCUCCAUGAAACUGUGGUUGGGGCUGCUUUGCAUCCACCUGCUGAUUACUCCACUCUUCCCCUUUCCCCAUUAGGAGAGAAAAAGAUUAAAUUCCCAUUAAUUAAAAGCUAAUUGAUGACAAGAUGACAACACUAAUGUAGAAGCUCAUGGUCCUGAGUAACAAGAUGCUAAAUAUCACCAGUUCAAUUUAAAAAGACAGCAUCAAUGUUAGCCUGAUAACUAGAGAAACAAUCUUGCUAACUGUGGGAAAUGACUCAAAGGCCUGGCUUGGUUGUCAUAGGAGGAUGGGAUGAGACCCCACAGCACCCAGUGGGUGCAACCCAGCCUGUUGUGCUCCCCCAAGCCCUGCACUGCCGUGGCACUGUGCACACCUGGCUGUGCGCAUGAAGCCAAAUCCCUGCGAGGACGACGGAUGCUGUGCACAGGACUGGGGCCUGGCUGGCUCUGUUGGGGCAGGGCGUGCUCAGAAGCAGCCUGUCCUGAACAUACCAUGGGGGCCAGCCACAUUUGUAGGCUCUGGCACAGGCACUGGCAGCACAUCCAGUCUGCUUUGCUGGCCUGAGCAUGCAGCCCUCCUCCUGGGCAGGGACAGGCAUGGCAGCAGUGCCUAUGUUCUGUUGGAGCAGCUUUGCUUGAGCUCUCUCAAGCCCUCAAGGGGAGGAAGCCUGUCUCACCAGCAGGGGAUGGGACAGCAAACUGCUGUGCUGCUGAUGGCCUCACACCCCUCCUGCCUCCACCACCAGCUCUGGGAUCAGCACGUGCUGCAGCAGUUGUGCACCCAGCCCCCACAUCACUGCCCUGAGACAGAGAUCUGUUACCUGAUGGUAGAAGCUCUGAAGGGCUGAGAUUAAUUAAAGGAUUAAUUGAAAUCCAUUCUUUUCUUGAAUUCUUCUUCUUCUUCUUCUUUUAUUUAUUUAUUUAUUUUCCCUGCUUCUUUUUGCUGUGAAUCUCCAUUCUUGGCUGGCAGUGCUUCCAGCAGUUGGGAACUGGAAUUAUGGAGUAGAGAAGGCUAAAUGCAAUCCAAACCCAGGAAGUCAGUUUGGAUCAUAAAUCUGCCAAGCCAUUAUGGAAUCACAGUAUGGUUUGAGUAGGAAGGGACCUUUGAUAGUCAUUGAAACCAACCCCCUGCCAUGGGCAGGGACAUCUUCCAUGAGAGCAGACUGCCCAGGGCUCCAUCCAGCCUGGCCCUGAGCACUGCCCGAGAUGGGGCACCCACAGCUUCCCUGGGCAACUUAUCAAGCCAUCCAAGGAAGCAGAGAGAAAGAAACCUAAGGGAAGGUGCCAGCAGAGCACUGCAAAUAAAAUCAAAGGAGAAGACAGAUUAAAUGUGUUCUGCGUAAUGCAGGCUUGGUUUCAUUCAAGUCCAUUUUGUAAGCAAGAUUUCAUGUUUCCUCUGAGUCUAAAAAUUAAAGCUUGAUGGAGCUAGUCUGGGUGAGACUUGUGGCUUUCUUCAUGAUUUUAUUGUGCUAAAAAUGAUCAUAAAACCGCAAGAACACCUUUUUCAGCAGAACUGCCUCUCUUUAGAAGACCCAUUACAGCACAUGUAAUAACAGAGCCGUGCAUCAGCUCUGCCGUAGGACCUGAGAAGAGGCCUGUGCUGGGACAAAACGGACCCACAGAGCUGAGCUCUGCUGUGAAGUGGGAGCACAGAGGCCCUCAGCACUCUCUGCUUCACCUGAGAAGUAUUCUGGGGGCAGCCAUGCAGAAAGAGGAGUGCUGAGCACCUGCAGGCCCCCCCUAAGGACAGAUCUCUGCAGACAGACCAAGGGAGGAUCAUCUAUCCUGCACUCAGCAGGCACAACGAUGCUGGGUCCUACCAGGAAAUGUGCUCUGACACACAGCAGCAACAAGGUUUGAACACUUUUUCCUUCGUUUCCGGGGUUUUGUGUCUCAUGCCAGGAGCUGAGAGUGGAUGGAAAGUGGGGUGCUGUGGUUUUGCUGGUCCAUUCGGGCAGCUUCUGAUGGCUGUGGGAAUUAUCACGUACUGCUUUCGUGGUAGCACUGCGUAAAUGUCAAAUAGUUAUAUAUUAUUUUAUAAAUAUCCUUCAGAGACAGGAUUGAAAGUGGCUUCAGAGCUGUUCCCCGAGGGAUUUGGUCACUGUCUUACAGACAAGAAAAGAACUGCUGGGCUGGGACUUUGCCAUGACCAGGCAGCACCCCUGGGACUCUCGCAAGCUGCUCUGAUCUAAUCCUCAUGAAGCCUGACCCUUCCUUUCAAAUGAAACCUAAUCCAUCACCCCCUGAUUGUGCAAAACAUUAUCCGCUGACAAAUGCGGUGAUAGCGGUGCUAAUAGAAGCCUGAUGGAUGGCCAGGGCUGGGACUGCAGCUCUCCUGCCCAGCGACUCCUACCUGAGCUUCAGCAUCUGUGAGCAGGAGCUGGGAGAAGAGCAGUUUUUCUGGAGCUGCCCCAUACAGCCCAGCAUUUUGGCCGGUCUGUGCCAUGCCCUCCCUUCCCAGGUCUGCUAUGGGAAGGACUGCAGCCAGGCAGGGCUGCCUUCAGCUGCUGAGCUCCAAGCUCUGUUGUUUUCAUCCAGCCCAGCACGAAGGCGUAAGCUUUCCUAUUAGCUUUUAUUGUUAUUGUUAUUAUCUAAAUCGUGCAAGAAAAAGCAUUCACUGACCUAGUCUGCAAUAAACUAUAAGUGGUUCUGAAGACCAUGAAGAUGGACAACACGAGGCAGAAGUGCUGCACGCUCUGUUGAGUUUUUCAUUAGGAUUUUUCUCUCCCCCUGUCUAUUUCUCACACCCACUGGAUUAUGAAUUUACAUGCAUUAUAAUGAGAAUAACUACAAUCAUGAUAGAUAGGAUUUUUUUUUUUAAAUCUUUAUGUAAAAAGCUACGGAACAUAAGCGAGCUGUCGAAGUUUGAAGGAAUCAGCCCCAUUUUGGUCAUACACUUUCAUAUUUCUUGUUUUGGGGAUGCAGAGUGAGUCUGGGCUGCAAUCUAAAUUCUGCGGGGAGUUGUGGUUGACGGAAAUAAACCAUGUGUUGAGGGUGCCACGUGAGCUGAACAUAAACAUGAAUUAAACCCUGCAACUGUGAAGGAACCAGGACUGCUGCAAAACUGGUGCUAAAAACAUAAAUUUAAAGCCUAAAAUAAUGGAUUGGAAGCCGGUUUAAUUGCCUCAAUAAAGGGGUAACAUGAAAGUUAUGGGUGUCAGAGCAGAUUAAAUGUACCUCAGAAAUCAGAAUAUGCUGUUGAUGCAUGAUGGAUGAAUGACAGAAGCCUGAAAGAGGCUAUUACAUCGACACAGUUGUAUAGAAAAUGUGGUUUAGUGGUUAAAAAGGGUGAGUGGAAGGCAGGGGCUCUUGCUGGGGCACAGCAGCUUCUUGCAUUGCAGUGUGAGCUUGGGCUGAAGCUUCUUUGUUGGGUUUGUUGAGUGGGAGCACCUUGCUCAGUGCCUGGGUGCUGUGCAACCUUGUUAGUAGGGCUGGAAAUCAACCUGCUCUUUGGAACGCAUCAUAUGCUAG
ensembl:lncRNA